rnacentral:lncRNA from 1 species
GUUUAGCGUUUAAAACCCUAAUGCUGAUUAAAGUGAAAAAGUUCAGUUUAGGGUUUAAAACCCUAAUGCUGACUAAAGGAAAAGUUCAGUUUAGGGUUUAAAACCCUAAUGCUGACUAAAGGGAAAAUUCAGUUUAGGGUUUAAAACCCUAAUGCUGACUGUAUGGAAAAGCUCAGUUUAGGGUUUAAAACCCUAAUGCUGGCUGAAUGGAAAAGAGUUCAGUUUAGGGUUUAAAACCCUGAUGCUGACUAAAUGGAAAAGUUUAGUUUAGGGUUUAAAACCCUAAUGCUGACUGAAAGGGAAAAGUUCAGUUUAGGGUUUAAAACCCUAAUGCUAACUGGUUGGGGGGUAAAGUUCGAGAAUGCUAGCUAGCCUCUUUUUUUUUGGAUUUUCUUGUUUUAGUAGCAGAUAAAAAGGGAGUCUC